AUCGAACGCUGGCGGCAGGCUUAACACAUGCAAGUCGAGCGGGGGAAGGUAGCUUGCUACCGGACCUAGCGGCGGACGGGUGAGUAAUGCUUAGGAAUCUGCCUAUUAGUGGGGACAACAUCUCGAAAGGGAUGCUAAUACCGCAUACGUCCUACGGGAGAAAGCAGGGGAUCUUCGGACCUUGCGCUAAUAGAUGAGCCUAAGUCGGAUUAGCUAGUUGGUGGGGUAAAGGCCUACCAAGGCGACGAUCUGUAGCGGGUCUGAGAGGAUGAUCCGCCACACUGGGACUGAGACACGGCCCAGACUCCUACGGGAGGCAGCAGUGGGGAAUAUUGGACAAUGGGGGGAACCCUGAUCCAGCCAUGCCGCGUGUGUGAAGAAGGCCUUAUGGUUGUAAAGCACUUUAAGCGAGGAGGAGGCUCUUUUGGUUAAUACCCAAGAUGAGUGGACGUUACUCGCAGAAUAAGCACCGGCUAACUCUGUGCCAGCCGCCGCGGUAA
rnacentral:rRNA from 1 species